AUUGAACGCUGGCGGCAUGCCUUACACAUGCAAGUCGAACGGUAACAGGGUGCUUGCACCGCUGACGAGUGGCGAACGGGUGAGUAAUACAUCGGAAUGUAACCAGUAAUGGGGGAUAACGCUACGAAAGGAGUGCUAAUACCGCACACGACCUGAGGGGGCAAGUGGGGGACCGCAGGGUCUCACGUUAUUGGAGCAGCCGAUGGCUGCUUAGUUAGUUGGUGAGGUAAAGGCUCACCAAGGCGACGAUCAGUAGCGGGUCUUAGAGGACGAUCCGCCACACUGGAACUGAGACACGGUCCAGACUCCUACGGGAGGCAGCAGUGGGGAAUCUUGGACAAUGGGCGAAAGCCUGAUCCAGCAAUGCCGCGUGCGUGAAGAAGGCCUUCGGGUUGUAAAGCGCUGUUGUCUGGGAGCAAAACCUGGCCUCUAAUACGGGUCGGAUAUGAGAGUACCAGAAGAAUAAGGACCGGCUAACUACGUGCCAGCAGCCGCAGUAACAC
rnacentral:rRNA from 1 species